rnacentral:rRNA from 1 species
UACGUAGGGUGCGAGCGUUGUCCGGAAUUAUUGGGCGUAAAGAGCUCGUAGGCGGUCUGUCGCGUCUGCUGUGAAAACUCAGGGCUUAACCCUGAGCUUGCAGUGGGGUACGGGCAGACUAGAGUGCGGUAGGGGAGACUGGAAUUCCUGGUGUAGCGGUGAAAUGCGCAGAUAUCAGGAGGAACACCGGUGGCGAAGGCGGGUCUCUGGGCCGUAACUGACGCUGGAGGAGCGGAAAAGCAUGGGGGAGCGAACAGG